AUACGUAGGGGGCGAGCGUUGUUCGGAAUCAUUGGGCGUAAAGGGCGCGCAGGCGGCGAGGCAAGUCCGGUGUGAAAGUGCUCGGCUCAACCGAGUGAUGCGCUGGAAACUGCCCUGCUUGAGUACAGGAGGGGACGUCGGAAUUCCAGGUGUAGGGGUGAAAUCUGUAGAUAUCUGGAAGAACACCGAUGGCGAAGGCAGGCAUCUGGCCGGAGACUGACGCUGAGGCGCGAAGGCGCGGGGAGCGAACAGGUUUAGAUACCCUGGUAGUCCGCGCAGUAAACGAUGCGCACCAGGUGUCGGGCGGCAGCGCCCGGUACCGGAGCAAACGCGAUGAGUGCGCCGCCUGGGGAGUAUGCCCGCAAGGGUGAAACUCAAAUGAAUUGGCGGGG
rnacentral:rRNA from 1 species